ACAAGAAGGCACUGGAGGCAGCAAAGGCAAAAGCUGGUAAAAAAGGACCUUUAGGAAGUGGUGGAAUCAAGAAAUCUGGAAAGAAAUGACCACCGACUUGUGUUACUUCAAUAGAGUGAUAGGUGUGUGUGCUAGUGGACUGUCAAUCAAUCACC